rnacentral:tRNA from 28 species
GGAGAGGUGGCAGAGUGGUUGAAUGCACCGCACUCGAAAUGCGGCAUACGGGCAACCGUAUCGGGAGUUCGAAUCUCCCCCUCUCCGCCA